GACGAACGCUGGCGGCGUGCCUAACACAUGCAAGUCGAACGGAACUCGGGACUUCGGUUCUGAGUUUAGUGGCGGACGGGUGAGUAACGCGUGAGGAACCUGCCUCGGAGUGGGGAAUAACACAGUGAAAAUUGUGCUAAUACCGCAUAAUGCAGUUGAGUCGCAUGGCUCUGACUGCCAAAGAUUUAUCGCUCUAAGAUGGCCUCGCGUCUGAUUAGCUAGUUGGUAGGGUAACGGCCUACCAAGGCGACGAUCCAUAGCCGGCCUGAGAGGGUGAACGGCCACAUUGGGACUGAGACACGGCCCAAACUCCUACGGGAGGCAGCAGUGGGGAAUAUUGCACAAUGGGCGAAAGCCUGAUGCAGCAACGCCGCGUGAGUGAAGAAGUAUUUCGGUAUGUAAAGCUCUAUCAGCAGGGAAGAAAAUGACGGUACCUGACUAAGAAGCCCCGGCUAACUACGUG
rnacentral:rRNA from 1 species